AGUGAACGCUGGCGGUAGGCCUAACACAUGCAAGUCGAACGGCAGCACAGUAAGAGCUUGCUCUUACGGGUGGCGAGUGGCGGACGGGUGAGGAAUACAUCGGAAUCUACUUUUUCGUGGGGGAUAGCGUAGGGAAACUUACGCUAAUACCGCAUACGACCUACGGGUGAAAGCAGGGGAUCUUCGGACCUUGCGCGAUUGAAUGAGCCGAUGUCGGAUUAGCUAGUUGGCGGGGUAAAGGCCCACCAAGGCGACGAUCCGUAGCUGGUCUGAGAGGAUGAUCAGCCACACUGGAACUGAGACACGGUCCAGACUCCUACGGGAGGCAGUAGUGGGGAAUAUUGGACAAUGGGCGCAAGCCUGAUCCAGCCAUACCGCGUGGGUGAAGAAGGCCUUCGGGUUGUAAAGCCCUUUUGUUGGGAAAGAAAAGCAGCAGGUUAAUACCCCGCUGUUCUGACGGUACCCAAAGAAUAAGCACCGGCUAACUUCGUG
rnacentral:rRNA from 1 species